GCUCGUAGUUGGAUUUCGGGUGGGUUCUAGCGGUCCGCCUAUGGUGAGUACUGCUAUGGCCUUCCUUUCUGUCGGGGACGGGCUUCUGGGCUUCACUGUCCGGGACUCGGAGUCGACGUGGUUACUUUGAGUAAAUUAGAGUGUUCAAAGCAGGCUUACGCCCUGAAUACUUUAGCAUGGAAUAACACGAUAGGACUCUGGCCUAUCUUGUUGGUCUGUAGGACUGGAGUAAUGAUUAAGAGGGACAGUCGGGGGCAUUCGUAUUUCAUUGUCAGAGGUGAAAUUCUUGGAUUUAUGAAAGACAAACUACU
rnacentral:rRNA from 1 species